rnacentral:lncRNA from 1 species
GGAGUUUAGAUAAAUUUGAGGAGGACCAUCAACAUUUAACAAGGGUAUUGAAGAAGAUUCCGGAGGAUGGAGGGCAAAUGUUUCUAAAAGAAACUUGUGUACACUGGAUGCAAAUUGCCCUUUCAUAAACUGGGAUAGCAAAGAAUUACCAAAUUCCAUUUGAUUAGCUAAAGCCUCUUCUCACAGAGCUGGCGAUAAGAAACAUCCCACUUUGGGGGACAGGAACUAGGAGGGUUCAUGUCACUUGCUUCAGUGCUAUGACCCUAGUGAUCCCUGGUUGGAAAGGUAAUUAGGAGAGGAUGGGGCUACUUCUCAUGUUUUCUUAAUUGCUUUGAGUCAGGGCUCUGCCUGUGUCUAGUUCUGAAGCAGAGCUUAUAGAGGUGAGGUCAAAACGGUUCUCAUUUCCAAAGGACAAGGGGGACUUGGGGGGGUAGUCUCAAGACAGCAUUACAGGAAGUCCAUUUCACCAUUCAGUCCUGAGAGCUAUACUGAAUGUACUGACUGAUUUUAAUAGUCUUUGCCUCGAAUAGUUAAAGUCCUGUGAAAUUUAGCCUUGAUCAAAAUACUGGGGACGGAGUGGGGAAUAACACCAAAGAAAACACAUAUCAAUACCUUGAAUAGUAACAUAGAAGAAGCUGGAGUAACCGGUUAGAGGAAAAGGAAAAAAAACCUGCACAGUAAACCGCCCGCUGGAGAGCAACACAAGCUCCUUACACCAAAACACGGUGUCUUCUGGAAGGUUGGUCACUUAAAACUCUCAUCUGUAAGCACCUGGAUCCUCAGAGUAGGGGGCAGAAGAACAAGGUCUAUGCUUCCCUGACCCUACACACGCCCCACCCCCUACCCCCACCCCCAGACCAUUAGGGAUCCAGCGAUAUGCAAGACAAUGUGCAAGCAGUAAGAGAAGAAGCCACAAAUUCUGUUAUGUGCAUGCCACUUGUGUAGGUGUCAGAGCCUUGUGUGUGAAUAUAUCCCCCACCUGACACACACAUGUAUACCUUAAGCACAUGGCACAAAUAUAUACUCUCCAUGGACUACAGUGGUGUUAGUUAGGACCCUGAGCUGUAAUCAUAGCAUCGUUACUACUUUUUGUGUUGUGUAUACAUUGAAUGGCUCAUAGAUUUUAAGAGUUUUUUUUUAAAUGUAAGCAUCCUACUAAAUGCACUUAUGCUUCUAAAUGUUUGUAUAUUUUAGUAAAAUUGAUUUAUUAGAUCCUUUGGUAUUGUAUUUUAGUACAGUAAAAUUUCCUCAGCUGUUUGAUUAAUGCUUUGAUGUCAAGAUUGCACAUUUUUAGUUAGGACACAGAAGAUAUUAUGCAGCUUCGGGCAUUUUCAACUGCAGGUCGCCUGCGGUUCUCUUGACUAAAUUGCACUGUGUGUUCUUGUGUAUCAGCUCUCACCUCUAAAACGAGGUAGAUCAUCAGAGUAGCCCUGAUGCUUCUGUCGCUGACUCCUGGCUCUCUGGUGGCAGUAUUUCUGUCGUGUGACCACCAUUUACUUCCUAAGCCAUCCGCUUGCAAUGGCAUUUUGGUUGCCACCAAAAAUAACACAAUGGGUUCUGAGUCUGUGUUGUUGGAAGCUGGGUACAUCAUUUCCUUCAGCUGUUUUAUGCACGCACACACGUUUUUUGUUAAAGCGUUAAGCAUUCAGCCAUGAACUAACAAUUGGCCAGAAACACCCUAAAUUGCCUUUACCAAAAAAAAGGGGGGGGGCAGGAAGUGAUACCCAGACUUUCAACUUUUCAAUCAGUGAGUAACAAACAGCACUCAACAUGCAUAUGUGGCCUCUCCUCAGUAUUAUUUAAUGUCAUAACUACUGCUUUUGUAAUUUGUAAUGAUGUUUGGAUGAAACCACUUGGACACCUGCUAUAGAUCACUGACAAGACCGAGCAGCUGAAAACAAGGAGAAUAAAGUUCCGUUCUACUGUAAGAUUUGAUUUAUGUUCAUCUUUCCUUAUAGACUAUUAAAGGGAAAGUGGUUUGAAAAGCAUUUGAGUCUGGUAAGUAUACAUAGGCCAGUACCUGAACCUUUUAAUUUGUACAUUUUGCCGUCUGGUCCUUUGCAUGGGAGACACGGUAGUGCCACAUCUGAUUUGUUCUCUGGCGCUUGAUUAGUGUGUGCUGUUCCCAAUGGCAUCCUUUACUUUUCAGUUUUCAGAGGCAUUCGAAGCAAACUAUACCGUCAGUGGCCCAUUGUUUUCUGACCAUCUAAAACUUACCUGUGAUUAAACUUAACUUGUUAGUGUAAAUAAACCUCUUGCCAAUGAUUAUUAUUAUUGUUAGAGAAUGAAUGCAAUAAAAGGAAAUUCAGAGGUC